rnacentral:ncRNA from 1 species
GGUGGUGAUGCAUGGACGUUCUUAGUUGGUGGAGCGUUUUGUUUGGUUAAUUCCAAUAACAAAUGAGACCUCAACCUUCUAACUAGCUAUGUAAAGGUUCCUCUUUGCAACCAACUUCUUAGAGGACUAUGGUUGUUUAGGCCA